UUCUUUCACUCACUAUCGCUAUGAGUCCUACUGGACCAGCUAAUCUCAAUCUCCAGAGUCCGUGAUGAGCCAUCCUUGUUGUUGUCCUGGCUGAGGCUGAAAAGGCCACUAUACAGACCUUCACUAACAACUUUAUCAAUUUGGAUUGUUACCCUCCCGAUAGUGGUCUUCCCAAAUGUGUUUUUGCUUUUGCACAAGAUAUGUAACUUUUGUCCCUUGGGUGGUACAUCAAAAGCCCAUGUG
rnacentral:misc_RNA from 1 species